rnacentral:tRNA from 2 species
CGCGGGGUGGAGCAGCUCGGUAGCUCGUCGGGCUCAUAACCCGAAGGUCAUAGGUUCAAAUCCUAUCCCCGCAACCA